CUGCAGUUCCCUGGAGUAAAAUCUUCCCCAUCUGACCCACGCAGACAGCUUGUCUUCCCUGGGAGACUAAGCACCUCAGGUCAGCCAAAGGGUUAUGAGUACACAGGAACUAUAAAGCUCCAGGCUAAAGGGGUGAAGAAAGUUGGCCAGCUGGAAGCAGCAGAGAAAAGGCCAGUUGUUCUUAGUAUACCAUAUCAGCACAGCUAAGCCCAUCUGAAUGUGGUUUCUGAAGUCACUGAUGAAGACAUCUAGUCCGGGAAUGGAACUCCCGGUGAAGAGAAUCAGAGGCGACAAGCUCAUCCAGGGUCCACUGAAAUCAUCCAUAUUUUCUCAUGGACAGGUGGACAGGACGGGAACCCUGGAACAAGAAGCCAAAGGGCCACCUCUUCUACCCUUUUGGAAGCAAUCCACACUUGGCCCCACUUGGGGACACAACAAGCUGAGCAUGGCAGCUUGGGGACUCAAGUCUUCUGGCCAAGAGUCAUUCCUUUAAUCGUCCCAAGUAACUGGCACUGAAACAAAAAGUUCACAUAUUCUAGCUACACCCUUUUACAGCCCUUGCUGUUUUGUAGGAAAUUCACAAAACUGUAAGUUACAGAGUUCAACCAGCUUAUUUUUGAACAUUGGAUGAGAAAGCAGAUAGACUUGUCCCGUACCUCUAUGAGUCCUGCAAUCCUUCAACACUCUAACGGGAGUCAGGUUUGUGUCCAAAUACAAUAUACCUGCUGCUGCUUUCUGUCUAGAGCAAAAACAUGAAGAAUCAUGCUUAUUCUGUUGAGCCAAAGGUCUCCUAACUCCUACCAACACCAGAAAGUAACCAUUAUUUUCACGACUUUCAUUAACUUCAGUUUAUGAAAGGAACUGUCAAACAUGCUGGCACCUGGUUUGUUAUCUAUGGAAGUCAUACAAGGGGUCGUAGUUCAUGUCUCUAACUCCUCUGGGCUCCAGAGAUCACUUAGAAAGAAAAUGGAGGGAAACCAAAGUUUACCGUAUCAGAGAAACCACUGCCAUCACACAAAGGUUUGGAACAAAAGGGAAUUUGGGGGCCUCCAACUCGGACAGUGUCUUUUUAGGCUGACAUGUCAGUUACUUGAAGAAUGUCUGGGGAUUCAUUCUGUUGGAAUUUACCACAAUGAGUAUUUCUACAGCCUUCUCAUAUGAGAUCUCUAAUUCUCUACAGUAAAGUUUGUGAGUUCCAGCGGACGCAACAACCCUUAACAAGGACCUUAUGUCAAACCCUCAUGUAGCUGCUAAUUAGUAGAUGCAUUCUCGGGUCUUCACCACUGCAAUUACAAGCCAUAUCCUGCUCCCUC